rnacentral:rRNA from 1 species
AAAUUGAAGAGUUUGAUCAUGGCUCAGAUUGAACGCUGGCGGCAGGCCUAACACAUGCAAGUCGAGCGGUAGCACAGAGAGCUUGCUCUCGGGUGACGAGCGGCGGACGGGUGAGUAAUGUCUGGGAAACUGCCUGAUGGAGGGGGAUAACUACUGGAAACGGUAGCUAAUACCGCAUAAUGUCGCAAGACCAAAGUGGGGGACCUUCGGGCCUCAUGCCAUCAGAUGUGCCCAGAUGGGAUUAGCUAGUAGGUGGGGUAACGGCUCACCUAGGCGACGAUCCCUAGCUGGUCUGAGAGGAUGACCAGCCACACUGGAACUGAGACACGGUCCAGACUCCUACGGGAGGCAGCAGUGGGGAAUAUUGCACAAUGGGCGCAAGCCUGAUGCAGCCAUGCCGCGUGUGUGAAGAAGGCCUUCGGGUUGUAAAGCACUUUCAGCGGGGAGGAAGGCGUUAAGGUUAAUAACCNUGGCGAUUGACGUUACCCGCAGAAGAAGCACCGGCUAACUCCGUGCCAGCAGCCGCGGUAAUACGGAGGGUGCAAGCGUUAAUCGGAAUUACUGGGCGUAAAGCGCACGCAGGCGGUCUGUCAAGUCGGAUGUGAAAUCCCCGGGCUCAACCUGGGAACUGCAUUCGAAACUGGCAGGCUAGAGUCUUGUAGAGGGGGGUAGAAUUCCAGGUGUAGCGGUGAAAUGCGUAGAGAUCUGGAGGAAUACCGGUGGCGAAGGCGGCCCCCUGGACAAAGACUGACGCUCAGGUGCGAAAGCGUGGGGAGCAAACAGGAUUAGAUACCCUGGUAGUCCACGCCGUAAACGAUGUCGAUUUGGAGGUUGUGCCCUUGAGGCGUGGCUUCCGGAGCUAACGCGUUAAAUCGACCGCCUGGGGAGUACGGCCGCAAGGUUAAAACUCAAAUGAAUUGACGGGGGCCCGCACAAGCGGUGGAGCAUGUGGUUUAAUUCGAUGCAACGCGAAGAACCUUACCUGGUCUUGACAUCCACAGAACUUUCCAGAGAUGGAUUGGUGCCUUCGGGAACUGUGAGACAGGUGCUGCAUGGCUGUCGUCAGCUCGUGUUGUGAAAUGUUGGGUUAAGUCCCGCAACGAGCGCAACCCUUAUCCUUUGUUGCCAGCGGUUAGGCCGGGAACUCAAAGGAGACUGCCAGUGAUAAACUGGAGGAAGGUGGGGAUGACGUCAAGUCAUCAUGGCCCUUACGACCAGGGCUACACACGUGCUACAAUGGCAUAUACAAAGAGAAGCGACCUCGCGAGAGCAAGCGGACCUCAUAAAGUAUGUCGUAGUCCGGAUUGGAGUCUGCAACUCGACUCCAUGAAGUCGGAAUCGCUAGUAAUCGUAGAUCAGAAUGCUACGGUGAAUACGUUCCCGGGCCUUGUACACACCGCCCGUCACACCAUGGGAGUGGGUUGCAAAAGAAGUAGGUAGCUUAACCUUCGGGAGGGCGCUUACCACUUUGUGAUUCAUGACUGGGGUGAAGUCGUAACAAGGUAACCGUAGGGGAACCUGCGGUUGGAUCACCUCCUUACCUUAAAGAA